GUAAUAUAGAGAUGAUUGAAAGUAUUUGAAAGGGUGUGUGUAGGUUAUAUGCAAACACUAUGCCCUGUUAUAUUAGGGACUUGAACUGAGACCGCUAUACCCUGUUAUAUCAGGGACCGCGGAUUUUGGUAUCCUGGGAUUCCUGGAACCAAUCCCCUGUGGAUCCUGGGGAAUGAAUGGACUGGUUGCAGGGCAGUGCACUAACUUAAUCAAGAUCCUGUACUUACUCUGCACAGCCUUGCUAUUCAAUGUGCUAUCCAGGAAUGGGCAGCAUGGUAGCAUCAUCAGCUUCACUAGGUGUUCGUCAGAAUACAGAGUCUCAGGUGCUCCCCCAGACACUGCAUUUUACAAGACUGUGCCAGAGCAGAUUCACAUUUACAGUCUGGUAGGGGGAGCAUUCAAGGAAAUUUGUGGCUCUAGUACAGUGUGGCAAAUUCAAGGUUAGACCUGGAGUGUUGCCUAGGUCAGUUUGCAGGAAUUGAGUUUUUC
rnacentral:lncRNA from 1 species